GGUGGACACAUUGGCAUUUGCAGAGUUACUAAUAGACAAUAGCAUGAAAGACGGGUACAAGUUUCCCUGCUGCCAGCUUAUAGUCCCUAAAGUGUGCUCUGUUAUGGACCCAAAUUUUGACUCAUGUAUCACUGUACACUGGUCAUGAUCAUGUCCUGAUAAAAUUAGCGCAGGCUUGACCAACUCCAGCAAUUUGUAUGAGGAUUCCUUAGUAACAUAAUUCUGGUACAUUAUUUCUUGACUAAGAGCAGAAUGUGAAAUCCGCUGAGCAUAUAACACGUGGGUGAGUUCAAGCAUGGAGAAGAGCAUAUUCAGAUUCACAAUCUCC
rnacentral:misc_RNA from 1 species